rnacentral:rRNA from 1 species
UGGCUCAGGACGAACGCUGGCGGCGUGCCUAAUACAUGCAAGUCGAACGGUCUUUCUAUGGAAGCUUGCUUCCACUGAGAAGAUAGUGGCGGACGGGUGAGUAACACGUGGGUAACCUGCCCAUAAGAGGGGGGAUAACAUCCGGAAACGGGUGCUAAUACCGCAUAGUUUUCUUGAUCGCAUGAUCGAGAAAGGAAAGACGGCCUUUGUGCUGUCGCUUAUGGAUGGACCCGCGGCGUAUUAGUUAGUUGGUGAGGUAACGGCUCACCAAGACGAUGAUACGUAGCCGACCUGAGAGGGUGAUCGGCCACAUUGGGACUGAGACACGGCCCAAACUCCUACGGGAGGCAGCAGUAGGGAAUCUUCCGCAAUGGACGAAAGUCUGACGGAGCAACGCCGCGUGAGUGAAAGAAGGUUUUCGGAUCGUAAAACUCUGUUGUCAGAGAAGAACAAGUCGGAGAGUAACUGCUCCGGCCUUGACGGUAUCUGACCAGAAAGCCACGGCUAACUACGUGCCAGCCGCGGC